rnacentral:lncRNA from 10 species
GGCGUGCGGGCGGGGAGGAGGGUGGGGGCCGCUCUGGCUACAGUUUAUCUUGGCACUAACAACGGGGACUGAUUGGGCUUCGUUGUGAAAAGGGGGGCCCUGUGGUGCGUUUACAGAGUCUGAGAACACAGAGUUCGUGGCCACUCCCUCACCCAGCCCUGGGCACCAGGUUAUGUUUUAAAUUUGAGCACCUCAGCCAUGGGGAACCCCUUUUGUUUGUCAGCCAGGGCAUAGUUUACCAAUCCCAAAUCUGUAAUCUCUCUCUUAACAAAUCACUUUCUACCCAAAUACAGAUCCUUAAGGGCAGGGCCUCUGGUUCAUUUUUGUCAUCUCCACCUAGCGGAGAGCGCGGCACACGGCAAUGAUACGGGAGUGCGGGGGAAGGGAAGAGUGUGGUCCCUUUAAAUGAUACAGAAGGGAGGUGCUGGGUAGAGGGGGGCGUGGUCCCCGGCUAGGGCUCCACCCCCCCGGACCUGGGUGAGGACAGGCACUUCUGCCUUCUUGCCCCAAUGUUGCAUUUUCCAAGACCACCCUGGCCCGCCAUGCCCCCAUUCUGAGCCUAUAAAAACCCGAGACCCUAGCAGGGCAGAGGCAGAAACUGCUGGAUGCUGAGAGGAACGCAUCAGUGGAAGAAAACAAGCGGCUGGACGUGGAGAGGACGUCAAGGGAGCAUGCCGGCGGAAGAGCACACCACAGACGCCGGCAGGCCACCGAGCGGCAGGACCAGGCGGAGUUUGGCCGGGGCAGUCGGAGGAGAGCUAGGCCACUAAGCAGCUCAACUCCAGGAGAUAAACCAUCUCCCUUGUGGCUCCUCCGUCGGCUGAGAGCUGCUUCCACUCAAUAACACUUUGCACUCGUUCUCCAAGCCCCCGUGUGAUCCGAUUCUUCUGGUACACCCAGGCAAGAACCCAGGAUACAGAAAGGCCUCGGUCCUUUCCACAAGUACCUCUACUUGAGGUACUCAUUGACCUGGUUAACACAAGCUGCCUACAGACGCCAAAACUAAGGGCACCCUGGAACACAGGCUUCAGCUGUAAACAUUCACCCCUGGGCACUGCCGUGGGGUGGGAGCCUGCCUGAGUGUAUGCUCCCCUAGAGGUUUGAGCUGCGGGGCACUGAAGAAGUGAGCCACACUCCCAUCGCACACUGCGAGGGGGACAAAGGAACUUUUCCUCUUUUAACUGGGGCCUCAUCUGGAAUCUCGGAAGGUGAAUGUCUGCCUUCGAAAACCCUACCACCUGUCUUUCUUGUGGAACCAUCAAACUCCAAGUGGACAGGCAACUGGAGCCUCAGAUAAUGACUCCCCUUUGCUAGGAACCCUUAGACAGACCUCUGGGAGGAAUUUGACUGCCGUUUUCUCAAAAACAACGCCCCCUGUCAGCGGGAAGCAGCUAAGACAGGUCAUCGUCCAUAUUCUAAUAGCAGUUAGAUGUACGUUUUCAGAGAGGGGAAAUGAUACAGGAGUGCGGGGAAGGGAAGAGUGUCAUCUCUUUAAAUGAUACAGAAGGGAGGUGCUGGGUAGAAGAGGGUGUGGUCCCUGGCUAGGGCUCCACCCCCACGGACCUAGGUGAGGGCAGGCACUUUCUCCUUCUCACCCAAAUGUUGCAUUUUCCAAGAUCACCCUGGCCUGCCAUGCCCCCAUCCUGGGCCUAUAAAAACCCUGAGACCCUAGCAAGGCAGAGAUAGAAGCUGCCGGAUGCUGAGAGAAACACAUCAGUGGAAGGGAAGAAGAAAAGCGGCUGGACAUGGAGAGGACGUCAGUGGAGCAUGCCGGCGGAAGAGCACACCCACAGACCCUGGCACGCCGGCAGGCCACGUAGCGGCAGGCCACGUAGCGGCAGGCCACGUAGCGGCAGGCCACGUAGCGGCAGGCCAAGGCGGAGUUUGGCCGGGGCAGUCGGAGGAGAGCUAGGCCACUAAGCAGCUCAACUCCAGGAGAAAACCAUCUCCCUUCUGGCUCCUCCAUCAGCUGAGAGCUGCUUCCACUCAAUAACACUUCGCACUGAUUCUCCAAGCCCAGGUGUGAUCCGAUUCUUCUGGUACACCCAGGCAAGAACCCAGGAUACAGACAGCCCUCUGUCCUUUUGAUAACUAGAGGGUCUCAUUGACCUGGUUAACACAAGCUGCCUACAGACGGCAAAACUAAAAGAGCACCCUGGAACACACGCCCACUGGGGCUUCAGCUGUAAACAUUCACCCCUAGACACGGCUAUGGGGUUGGAGCCUGCCUGUCUGUAUGCUCCCCUAGAGGUUUGGGCAGCAGGGCACUGAAGAAUCAAGCCACACCCCCAUCGCACACCCUGCGAGGGGGACAAGGGAACCUUUCUCUUUUCAGUUGGUCUUAAUAAACACUGAGUAAAUGAAUGAUUACGCACUCAGAAAAAUCAGUUAUCCUCUCCCACUCCGUGCCUGGGAAGUACCAACGGGUACUGAAACGUAAUGAGUAAUGUCUAGAGAUUUUCUCCACAGGAUAGAAACAAAGCUCAAAGAGGCAGCAAGUUGAAGAAAGUGUGACACUGUUUUAUUUUUAGGAUUUUUUCCUCUUUUUUAAAAUAAAUAUACGUGUAGAGAGACAGGGUCUCCCUUUGUUGCCCAGGCUGAUCUCGAACUCCUGAGCUCAAG